GGCAAUGUAAUCUAGUAGAUAAGAAAUUGUAUUUUGAAGUCAGAGGACCUAGGUUAGAAUCCUGGCUUUUCUG
rnacentral:tRNA from 1 species